rnacentral:rRNA from 1 species
AUCGAAUGGGUUGAUUCACCGUCAACGGCGCUGGCUCCUGGUUGCGUUCGAUGAUCCCGCGUUUUCGUGCGGGACACGGCAUGACCAGUGUGUCCGGUGACGUCGGCGUGCACUUCUCCCCUAGUAGAACGUCGCGACCCGCUGGGCGUACGGUCUACGGUGCCGCGUCAUUAGACUGUCGCGCGCGCUUCGGCGCGCGUAGGCAGAGGCGCGGAUAUUUACCUGACCGACUGCUCGGCGGUAGUCAAAGACGGUAUCGAGCCGCUAUGUCGAAUGCGUUUCGGCCCGCUGCAAGCUCGCUCGCGUUGGAUUCCCCGGAAUUUUGCGGACAUAGUGCCGUACCCGGGGCCGGGCAGCUGUUGGCAAGCGGUGCCGUAAACUGGCUCUUAUUACCGGUCGGCGACGCUAUUGCUUUGGGUACUUUCAGGACCCGUCUUGAAACACGGACCAAGGAGUCUAACAUGUGCGCGAGUCAUUGGGAUAAAACUAAACCCACAGGCGUAUUGAAAGAGAAGGCUGACCCUUGCGUCGGCCGAGGGAUGAUGGGCCGCGAAAGAAGCGGCCUCGCAAUCCCGGGGCGUCUCGAGCUCAUUGCGAGCUGAGGCGCACCAAGAGCGCACAUGUUGGGACCCGAAAGAUGGUGAACUAUGCCUGGUCAGGACGAAGUCAGGGGAAACCCUGAUGGAGGUCCGUAGCGAUUCUGACGUGCAAAUCGAUCGUCGGAACUGGGUAUAGGGGCGAAAGACUAAUCGAACCAUCUAGUAGCUGGUUCCUUUCCGA